AAAAAAAAAUUGUUAUACUAUUUUACAAUGAUUCUCUGGGCAUUUGUUACUGUUCUUUGUAUUGCAUGCACUGCACAUUCACGUAUUGAUCAGCCAGAUAAAGUCAUGACUGUAGAACUUGGCAACACUGUGAUUCUGCGGUGUAUUUCAUGUAGCAAUAACAUUUUUUGGUACAAGCAAGUUGCUGGUCAACAACCUCGAGUCAUAUCAGCAUUUCAGACACUGUCAGAGCCCAUUUUUUACAAUAAAUUCAAAAAUGAACGUUUUGGGGGCAAAAGACUGGGCUGCAGCACCAAUCUGACAAUCUCAGACAUCAUUCAGUCAGAUGAAGCAGUGUACUAUUGUGCAUCAAGAGAAUAUUAUGUUGAGUUUGGAAGUGGAACACAUCUGAAAAUUAAAGGUCAUCAAGCUUCAGUAUCUGAGACAUCAAAUUUCAACAAAACGUGUCAACAAAAAUGCAAUGAAAACAGCACUACAGAAAUGUCAAAUGAAAGUGUCUAUCCAGCAGUGCUUGGAUUGCCUUGUGCUUUGGGACUUUGUGGAGUGAGAAACUCUAGACAAGAAAAUCAAAUCAGAGGGCAUUCAAGUGCUCAGGAACCUGAUGAUGAAAAUUUGACAUAUGUAGUCUAUACAUAUGCAACGCACUCAGAAAAACAUUAA